GCAGGUUUCCACCUUACUGUUUGGGCCCACCAUGAACUGUGGCCCCGCCAUGCCAUGCUGCCUUGGAGCCAACUGAGUAUGGACUGAAGCCUCCAAGAACUGUUUCAUGAGUUUCUAUUAGUCCCAAUGUCUACUUGAGGACAGGAUGUGGUUAUAGAUUCUCACAGGUUUUUAAAAUGCCACAGUGAAACCCUGAAUGCUGCCCAUACUUCUCAGGCCAUCCUGGUAUAACCUUCUGUGAAUGGUAGGGCUGUAUCAUGGAGCCUGGAGCCAACGGAGAGGAGAGGGACCAGGUUUUCAAAAUUCAACUGAUAUUAAGCCUGAGUUCACUGACUGUAAGCAACAGAAACCAGGGCUGACUCACAUUGCUGGCAGAGAAGCUGUUGGAAAUCUGCUGCUGAAGGACCACAGUGUUGGUGGGAUGUGAGAGGGACCAGACUUAGAAAGCUGCCAUGAGAUGAGCCACGCUCUCUGCUACAGUGCUCUGCCCUGGGAAGCCCCCAUGAUGUUGGAGUAAUAGAGUCAGCGGACCACGGGCCAAAACUUGUGAAACUGUUGGCUCCGUCGUCCUUUCAGUGUGUCAUCUGGAGCAUGAGGCCUUUCCAGCACAUGAGAAGAGGAAGAGCGAGGAAGAGGCAGCUCACGCUAACCAUUCUGUGCUUUGGCCAGGAAAUGAUGCUUAUGACUUCUGUUCACACACAUUAGCCAAAGCUGGCGCUGGCUUUGUUUAGAUCGGAGUUAGGGAAUCAGGCAUCUGUACCAGUGGGAAGGAAUUAUCAGCUCCCUGUGUCAAAUGUGGAAACUGUGGCCAAAGGUCUGCAACUUACAAAGCAAGAUUAGAAUUUCAAAAGAUUAUCUGCAUGAUCCCCCCAGAAAACCUCCCCUGCUCACGGUUUCCUACUGAAAUCUUGAUACCCAGGGGAUUGAGGAUUGCACCGUCUGCUCUUCUGCUAACCGGCUGAGCCCCUGGGCAAAGUUGCUUCACUUUUUCAAGGCUCAGUUACCUGUCAGGGAAAUGGAGACAGCAAUGCACCCUGGCCUGAAUCCGGAACAUUGUGUGAGAAUGAGAAUGAGGUUUGAGGUCAGUGACAGUGAUACAAAGUUCUCAGUAUUGCUGUUCUCUGUGAGAAGUGGGAAAUACACCAUGUGCAAUGAUGCA